UAGGAUGGCACCAUUGCUACUCUUAAGAGGU
rnacentral:piRNA from 1 species